CGAGUGCCUCAAGCGUUAUCCGGAAUCAUUGGGCGUAAAGGGUGCGUAGGCGGUCCUGUUGGUCUCGCGUUAAAUUCUUCGGCUCAACCGGGGGCAUGCGCGGGAAACGGCAGGACUAGAAGGUGCGAGGGGUCUCUGGAACUCAUGGUGUAGCGGUGAAAUGCGUUGAUAUCAUGGGGAACACCGAAAGCGAAGGCAGGAGACUGGAGCAUUCUUGACGCUGAAGCACGAAAGCGUGGGUCGCGAAUGGGAUUAGAUACCCCAGUAGUCCACGCCCUAAACGAUGAUCUCUUGAUUUGGGGAGUAUCGACCCUCCCCGAGUCGAAGCUAACGCGAUAAGAGAUCCGCCUGGGUAGUACGACCGCAAGGUUA
rnacentral:rRNA from 1 species